UUCUGGAUCCCUGGAGGCUAAGAAGCCCACUGAGGACUGCACCUGGUUAUUGCUGCCUGGGCAGGGCCAGUGCCCUGCUGGUUUUGUGUCUGCCUCUGCUGGAGGGUCCUAGGGACCGCUUCAGUCUUCUGUUUCUGCUGGAGGAUCCCAGGGACCGCUUUAGGGUUCGUCUGUCUCCGCUGGAGGGUCCGAGGGGCCUAUUCAGCCUUCUAUUUCCGUUGGAGGGUCCGAGGGGCCGCUUCAGCCUUCGUCUGCCUCCGCUGGAGGAUCCGAGGGGCCCAUUCAGCAGCCUGUCUCCGCUGGAGAGUACAAAGGGGCCCGUUCAGCAGCUUGUCUCCGCAGGAGGGUCCAAGGGGCCCGUUCAGCAGCCUUUCUCCGCUGGAGGGACCGAGGGGCUGCUUCAGCCUUCGUUUGUCUACACUGGAGGAUCCGAGGGCCUGUCCAACCUUCCUCAGUCUCCGCAGGAUCCCGCCCUCGUCUGGUCCUGCCUUGUCCGGUCCUUCCUUGUCUGGUCCUGCCUCAUCUGGUCCUGCCAUGUCUGGUUCUGUGGCUGCCAUGCCACUGCCUCAUUCACAUCUGACUCAGCCUGCUCGACCUCAUCCAUGUCUGGUUCGGCGUCAGCGGCCUCUUUCCAGGCCGUUUACUGGACUUCUUUGUCAGCGUGGAAGACCUCAGGAGCUGCUUUUUCGCUGCCGCCACCUCCCUUGUUGUCGGCCUCUGGACCAGUUAAUCUUCUGUUGCCGCCACUGCCUUCCACGAGGCCAGCCUCCAGACCUGUUAUGCCUGCGUCGCCGCCGCUGCCUUCCACGCGGCCUGACUCCCGACCUGAUAAUUAUAGGCCAUUGGCCAAUGUAGACGAAACGUUUUGCACCAUCGAAGGCACCUGAGGUAGCACCCAAAAGGCAGAGGAAGAUGCUAACCAUCGCACAAAAAGUUGGACUUCUGGACAUGCUAAAAGUUACCAUAUUUUUUGGACCAUAAGGCACAUUAAGCGAAACAAAACAGUCAGACAAGUCAAACUUUACUCAACUCACUCUUCUUGCUUCCUCCACUUCCGUACCAUUGAUUCAUUAAUGUUGAAUUCUCUGACAGCUGCUCUAUUCCCAUGUUCUGGACCUGAAAACAGGGCUUGAUCUUUGGUUUCAUUCUAUAAUAUUGGACUUAUUUUUCUACGAAGGUUUGAACUUGAGUGUUUAAACAAGACAGAAAAUUUUGAAAAUGUACAUGCUGUCUGAGAAAAGUGUAUAAAGUGUGUAGUGAGGGGUCU
rnacentral:lncRNA from 1 species